UACGGGGGGGGCAAGCGUUGUCCGGAAUUAUUGGGCGUAAAGAGCUCGUAGGCGGUGUGUCGCGUCGGCCGUGAAAACCUGCAGCUUAACUGUGGGCUUGCGGUCGAUACGGGCAUCACUGGAGUUCGGCAGGGGAGACUGGAAUUCCUGGUGUAGCGGUGAAAUGCGCAGAUAUCAGGAGGAACACCGGUGGCGAAGGCGGGUCUCUGGGCCGAUACUGACGCUGAGGAGCGAAAGCGUGGGGAGCGAACAGG
rnacentral:rRNA from 1 species